rnacentral:lncRNA from 1 species
CAUUAAAACCUACCCGGUGCUUUAAUAUUUUUCUCUUUCAGGACAGCUCAGCUGUUUGAAAAACAGAAGAUUUUAAACAGUGGAGGAAACCAGUGCUAUGUCUGCAAUCACAGCUAAUGGGGCACGAGGAAGAGCUUGUCUAGUAGCAAGCAGUGCAGAGAGAACGCAUGAAAAACAAGUGGCUUCACCCAUUUUCACUCCACAUCCAAGAAACAAAAAGAGCAUCUCUUCUAAAUUUUGAAUGUCGACCAAGCCUCCAUGUGCCACAUACAGUGCUACAGAGAGGAGAAAUGAUGGCAAACACAAUCUGUCAGAUGGGCGGUGUGUUGGAGAUAGGUUUUUACACCAUGCUGCAGGAGCACACAACCCAGGGUCAAGAGCCCGGAGAUGAGGAGGUGGUGAAGCAGGAACAAAGGAAUGAGCACUUUCUGGGGAGAGAAUCAAAUGUACCAGGGUCCUGAGUGGGAAAUGAAGGCUCAUGAAAAGAGCCAAAGUCAUGUAGGAUGAAGCUGGGGACCAAAGCAAGAAGCAUGGCAGGGUGACACUACAGUGGAACGCAGGACCACAUUGUUACCCAAGACUCCAGACUUUAAGGUUUGAAAAAGGAUGGUGAAUUUAAGCAGAAGAGUGGUGCACUCAGAUUUGUGUUUUAACAGCUCAGAUUGGCUGGCAGGGGGCUAGGGAAGCCAGGAAGUACGGCAAUAGGGUGUUAUCAGUGAGGAUGGAAUAGCCAAAUGGAUAUGAGUGGAACCAGCAGGGUGGAAGGCAGCGGUGGGACAGGAGUCUGCUGUGCACAUUGACUGAGGUAGGUGGAAUCGCGCACCGCGGCGGGAAGCAGAGGGGGAGCAAGUGAAGGAAAGAAAACUCGAACACUCAAUCUCAGCCCUGGUGAAUCUGAGACGCAGAAAUGGUGUUUUGAUAAAAUGUCGGAGAAACUUCUCUUCACUACAAUGAGCUGGUGAUUGUAGUGCACAUUUUCCUGGUCAUCUGCUGCUACUGUUAUUUAUUACCUUUCUUAUUGUCAGUAUAGUCGGAAUUACCUACUUUACUUAAGCAAAGCCUGCAAAGAACACAAGGGGUGAGCAUGUGUGUACAAACACACACACAUCCUUGGAAAGACGGAG